AUUUAUUCAAUCAUAACCUCGCCAUGUGUCAAUAACGGCUUCCUGUUACAUCCUUCCAUCUGAUAAUAUUCUUGUGAUAACAGGCAUAUGUAAAAUGGAUGAGCAUGAAAACGAUGAAAACAUGAUGAAAAAUUGUACACCCACACUUUAAUUCACAACCGUCCCAACUGACAACCGUGUGGUGUGGGACGCAAAAUCAAUUCCCAUUGGCUGAAAGCAGACAGACGGUUGGGCACAGACGGUCUCUGACGGAGCGCAUGGCUUUAUACCUUCCCUUACUCGAGGCCAAUUUCAUUAUUUCUGAUGCAGUUUUGAACGAAGCUUGUCCAAAGUUACCGUAGACUUACAAGGAGCAAGACCAUUAGUGUAAUGUACCUUUAGUCUAUCAAUGUGAGUCAAUGUGUAAAAACCACAUGGUCCAACAUGUGCCAUCUUAAAUUAAUAAAUUGAUUUGAUCAAUAAAUUCAAAGGGAAGGUAAAGACGAUAUUUAAAAUGGAAAUCCUUCUAAGGCUACCAUUUUAUAACUCAAUUAUAAUGAAGAGAGGAUCAUUAUCAAAAAAUAAGGAGACAGCACGGAUUGAAUCCAAGAUCACAUAGAAUAUCAUUCAGAACAAUUUGAAAAGAAUCGUGGCUUCUUCAUUAUGUAUAUGAACCAUACUAACAAAGGUGAUUCGAAAACGUAUCCAAUAAAGAUGUGAGUUGUCAACUCGGAGUCGAGGAUCUAUGAAGAAUAUAUAUCCAGUUUUUAACAGAAAAAUUGCUUCUUUUUCUAAAGGGUUGGUUGCUGCAAGUCGCAAUUUAAUAUGUUUAAUAAUCAUAGACAUGUCAAGGAAGAAGAUGUUGGAAAACUUAUUCUUUUAAGAGGGAGUGCAAUGGCGAUAUUUAAAAUGGAAAUCCUUCUAAACCUUUCAUUUUAUAACUCAGUUAUAAUGAAGAGUGGAUCGCUAUCAAAUAGUAAGGAAACAACACAAAAUGAAUCCAAGAUAACAUAGAAUAUCAUUCAGAGGAAAUGCAAAAGAGGUAACUCCUCGGUUUCGGUUCUUUUGUUAUGGAAGUGAAUAAUAUACCGAAUUAAAAUAGGUAAGAAUAUUUUUAUUUUAUGCUUAGUUUAUCGUUUAUUGUUGUCGCAUUCUUGUAAUUUCACAUUUAAUGUGGGUCAUUUUUUAAAAAAAUUAUUAAUAUUUUCAUUAGGCAUUUCUUAAGCCUCUCAAAUGUACCACUAAAAUCUAAAAUACUUUGCACAUUAUACAAAUUAAAACAAAUACACAUUAAUUUAUUUGAGAAUUGCACAAUAUAUGGGUGAACGAUCCCACAGGGGACGGUUUCUUCUAAGUCACAAAAUUUAGUUUAAUUUAUAUGGAACUGUAAAUCAUUAGGCUGGCCUAUUAUCGUAUUUAUUUAUGUUUUUGUUAAUGUUAAUGUUAAUGUUUAUUUGACAAUGACGGAUGACCACGACUAUGAAGAAAAAGAAGUUAAAGAAGAAAAUGUUUAAAAAUAGUUCCGACAGAAAUAUUAGGCUGAAGAUCGGGUUUAGUGAUUUUACCUUACAUACUAUAUUUAUUUAUUUUAAUGACUGUAUGAGUGAUCUAUUUUUGUUGUUUAUUUUUGUAAUAAAAAUAAUUGAAAAACCAAAUUAGACUGUUAAUAUCCUAGGUGAUAGUCAAAAUUUGACUUUUACUACGUUAUGUAAAUGUAAAAUACCUCAUAAUUGACAUAUGUAAAUCAAUAGUGUAUUAGAUUUUCUCUUAAAUUAAUAGAGUAAUUUGGUAAUUUGAAGAACGUGUCGUGAUGAAAGAAAUAGAGACUCAUAAGAUCGUUGUAUAAUAACCAUGUUAUUACUGAAAUAAGAAGUUUAAUUAAGGCAUUAACCAAUAAAGAAAUGUGAUUGAA